CUCCGAUAGCAACGAAACGUGACCGUACUCUAUUGUUGCAGCGAAUAUAUACUCUCUCGGGGGUGUAUUACCGCUGCUUAGUGUGUGUAUGUCCUCGUGGUAUACCACACAUUAAACUAUAGAGACCGCUGUUUCUUCUUUAAACCAGAGGAAGGAUACGGCAAUAACAGGUCUGUGAUGCCCUCAGAUGUUCCGGGCUGCACACGUGCUACAAUGAUCAUUGCACUGUGCAUCUAACCCAAUGUGCGUGGACGCCACGUAUUGUAUCCGCUUCGGUGGUUGCAGUACUGUUGGUCGACCACGCCGAACCUACUUCGAAAGUAAACAUUUCUCAGUGGGUAAUCCAUUAGAAGUAAUGACUCGCAUAGACCUUGGUACACUUAUAUGUACGCGCAGGUUCUACCCGGCCUUGCCUUUGUGUAAGGUGCAGUGCGUAGCUUGUUGUUUUCGUACGUACCACUCCGUAUUAAUUCAUACGUGGGGAUAGAUCAUUGUUUAAUUGUUGGUCUCGGUCUUAACUAGGAAUGCCUUGUACGGGUCUUUGGUUCAACAUACCACCCGGAAUACGUCCCUGCCCUUUGUACACACCGCCCGUCGCUCUUACCGAUGGAUUAUACUAUGAAUCUAUAGGACUGCCAAAGUGACCCUCGCGGCGCUUAGUGGAAAUAUAUA
rnacentral:rRNA from 1 species